AAAAAAAGAAUGCUAGGGAAUCUAAAGCAAAUCUCUUUGUGGUUUUGCUGAGGCCCACCCCGGCACAGCAUGAAGAUAGCUCUGCAAGCAGCCGUUGGCGUAUCUCCCUCUGAGCCCAGCCAGGCGGUGGAGGAAAUGAAGAGGCGCUCCAGGGAGGGGCACGGCCAAGAGGCCAGGGCGGAGCGGGGAGAGCCGGUGGUGAGCGCAGCUGCCCUGCGACAUGGACGGCCCUUCGCGCUGCUGCUGCUGGCCCAGGACACAGACAGGUUCCUAUGGAAGAAUGAAACACAGCGAGGAGAAGAGAAUUGCCGAUUCCCAGGGGCCUGUGUCUGCCAGCGGCUGCUGAGUACCUCUGAGAAACUCUGCUUUGAGCUAAUAGGAACCCCCUGUUCUGGGAAGAUCAGUAUAUGGAACAAAAACCUCUGGGUGGACCCCUGGGCAAGAUGAAUUUGACCGACCAUAUGUUCCAGGACUCCAGCGAGAACAUCACCACCUCAACGUCAGGCCCCACACUACCCAGCAGCCUAGACACAGCGGCCACAGCUGUUUCUGGCUCCAUUGGUGUCGUGGCCCUCAUCUUGCUCCUGGUGGGACUCUUGUCCGUGACUCUGAAAAAAUGGAGGCAUGAGAGACUAUUUAAGAAACAACAGAAGCAUCAGACCAACUUUCUCCACAAAUCCUUGGAGCUUUCCUGCCAUGCCGAUGCCAUAUAUUCCAACGUGAUCAACCUGGCACCCAGGAAAGAGGAUGACUUCGCUGUCUAUGCCAACGUGCCCCCUUUCAACCGCCCCAGGAGGACAUCACCAGACCACGUGGAAUAUGCCUCCAUUGUAUUUCACUGAUGAGAGGCUCGUGAGAUGCUUCAGAGUGGAGAGUCAGACCUGUGCCUAUCUGUAUCCUGAUGCGGCUUUUGCUCUAGAUAUGUGUGUAUAUGUGUGCAUGUGUGUGUGUGUGUCUUUGCACGUGCCUGUGUGUGUUCAUGCCCGCCCAUGCUCAAAAAACCAUAAUAUGUAUUCUGAUGGAGGUAAAUGACUUGGUAUUUCUUCUAAUUUAUUGGAAGCAAGGUGCAGUUCUAAUGGAAAGGGGUGACAUCUGAGUGACAAGGGACAUAGUCAUUUCAGCCACUCUGAGCCAGAGGCAGGUUCCUGAGAGAGACUGGCCGAAAGAAGAGCCGUCUCUCUCCCCUGCCCCUCAUAAGGCCAGGGCUGAGGAGCAGGGCUCACCCCACUCAGGGACCAGCUCCCGGACUUCGUCUCUGCUGUGCUGCCCUGUAAGGAGCUGACUCCCUGCAGAGGUUAACGCGUGCGUCACACUCAGGUCUGUGGCUGAUCACCACGCACAUUUUCACAGCAGCUUUCCAGGGCCAUGCAGCAAGUGUGGAGGGAGACGGCGUGGGGGAGCUGCAAGUCCAUGGGGUCUCAAAGAGUUGGACAUGACUGAAGCAACUUAGCACGCAAAUGCAAUGGAGAAAAGAAAAUUUCAUUUAAAAACAAAGCUUAUGGAAGCCACUUUCAUCUUCGAGGAUGAUGUGAUUCACAUCGUUAAGAAAACACCUAUUCUACGGAUCCAUUCCAUCUAUAGAGACUGGAGAGGGGAGAUGAAAGUAGGAAGGAAACACAAAGAUUUCCAAGCCUCUGCCUUCUUUUCUAUUGAUAAUGGGAAAGUUCAAGAGCAGGCAACCCUUUGUCUUUAACACAGCUGUAUGAUGACCAGGUACCCUGAUUUGUUGGGGAUUUUCCUGGUGUACAACUGUGGUCCCAGCAAAAUUAUUAUUAGAUCCCCUUUCAUUCUCUAAAUUGUCAUAGUUUGGAUGAUAGAUUAUGUGGUCACCUGUUCACAAGAUUUUGAGAGUGCAAAAGCAAUUCCAAGACCAAUAAGGAAGGGAAAGCAAAGUUGUUUUGUACAAUAAAGUGGGAACGGAAUCGGGGUGGGAGUGGAGGAGGCUGCAUGUACGGUGCCUUGGGGAGGUGCGAGGGCAGUCUGGAGGCCAAACGGAGCUAAAAUCACAUAAAGAUUUCCACCACCAUAAACCUUGGUAAAGCCCAGUGAACACAACAAUUCCUGGUGCGGGUAUUUAGGGGAAGGGGGCACCAUGGAAAGGGAACCGAAGUCUACAUCUAGGUCAGCACAGAGCAGAAAUAAAGGGAAGUGGUAAGAGGUGCAAUAUGAAUGAGCUGGACCGUUCAGAGGAAGGCUGAGCUCAGAGCCGGAAGAGAACACAAGAAUGCAAACUCUCUGAAACUUCUCAGAAAUCUCAGGGAGGGGACCAGAGUUUCGGAAGAACCUACAGUUGGGAGGUUAACAACGGUAUUUAAUGGGUAGUUUGACCUCAGCAUGAAUCUGGGUUGUAAAAUUUAAACAGCUUCCUUUAUGGUGAGACUUCUCAGAGGCUUCAAUAUGUAAUCUACUUCAUGAAUAAAGUCCUUCAUGAAUAAAGCUCUCUUUUGUUUUCCUAGGGAGCAUUCCAUAGGGCAGGAAGUAAUCCUUGUAACAUCCUGUGGGAAGGCUUUUUUAAGGGGCCACCUGCCCAGGAGGCACUGUCACAGGGAUCUCGGGUGGUGUGGGCCUGGAACGGCUUGCCGUGAAGCCUCUGUUCCCGGCCAGAGGUUGGGGUCAGGUCACGGCGGUGAGAGCACCAAAUUCCGGCCACUAGACCAGUGGUCGGUGACAAGGCCCUGCCCCUUCAGCUUUGAGGCAGAAGAAUUUCCACAAAGAUGGAAAGUAAUGUUACAAAGUAUUUAUUAGGAAGAAAAAGUACAGUACUUAUGGAUAGACAUACGAAAGAGAGAGUCACACUGUCGUGGUGGUUUAAAUCAUUUGUAUGGGACAUUUCUUCUGGGUUUCUUUUGGCCAGUCAUUCUGAUUUGCCUGGUUCAGAGUCCGUAUUUGGUUUAUCUCAGUGUCCUCCUGUGUGU
ensembl:lncRNA